rnacentral:ncRNA from 2 species
CAAGAUUUAUAAGCGCCAGAGCUUGGAACUGCGCGGGGAAUGGUGAUCUGCUUCGACAGGGAUCCCAAACGGCAGAUACAAGCUGACGAGGUGGAGGUGUUCGGAUUGUUCGGCGGGGACCUCCCGGUACUGCACCAUAACCGUAAGCUGAAUCUCGGAAAAGGAAUGGGCGACCGUUCCCACAACGAAUCAGCAAGGUGCUC